AACAGGUGGCACCAUUAGGUGUCGCACUCUCUCCACAGCCUGUGCCUCCAUAAAAGGGAAGCUGGAAGGGUGGUGGCCAGGUGUCAAUUUCCUGUGUGUGAGACCAGCUGCGUGUUGGGCCCGCGCUGUUUGCUGGCUGUGGUAGGUUGGGGGAAAUUGUUUUAAAGUGAUUCUUUUAAGUAAGUUGUGCUGAUGUGGUGUUUUUAUACAGGACUGCAUUAUUGAUGGUGUUCGGCUGGUAGCGUUACCUGGGCGUGGGUGUUCGACGCCGCAGGGUUGCACCAGAUUGGAUACACCAAGAUUUGAUUUGGAAGUGUUGAUUUAUGCAAUGCAGUUUUUGUACUGCCUCCUGCUGUCCUUUUUAGCGUUUGUUUUUUCUUUUUGUUAGUCCGCCCAGUUAGGAUCGUUUUUGCUUGUAGUACUUGUGAGGGCGGGCUGACAACUUUUCCAUUCAUUUUGUUUGUUUUUGUUUGUUGUUUAUUUUGUGGCACUUCCCUAAAUACUUAUAUCCUGUUUGGUGUGAUCCCCAUGUUGGGUUGACAACAAACGGAUAAAACUAGCGGGAAUCCUUCAUGUAUUUAAUAAUAAAUAUCAAUAAUUAACUUAA